GACGAACGCUGGCGGCGUGCUUAACACAUGCAAGUCGAACGGGCCUUGUCCCCUUUUUUUUGGGGGUGGGGUUAGUGGCGAACGGGUGAGUAACACGUGAGUAACCUGCCCCUCACUUCUGGAUAGCCGCUUGAAAGGGUGGCUAAUACGGGGUGUUCUGGCCUGCUCGCAUGGGUGGGUUUGGAAAGAUUCGACCGGUUUUGGUUGUUUUGGUGGGGGAUGGGCUCGCGGCCUAUCAGCUUGUUGGUGGGGUGAUGGCCUGCCAAGGCUUUGACGGGUAGCCGGCCUGAGAGGGUGGGCGGUCACACUGGGACUGAGACACGGCCCAGACUCCUACGGGAGGCAGCAGUGGGGAAUAUUGCACAAUGGGCGCAAGCCUGAUGCAGCGACGCCGCGUGAGGGAUGGAGGCCUUCGGGUUGUGAACCUCUUUCGCCAGUGAAGAAGGUCCUGCUCUUUGUGGUGGGGUUGACGGUAGCUGGGUUAAUGAAGCGCCGGCUAACUACGUG
rnacentral:rRNA from 1 species